rnacentral:lncRNA from 1 species
CAACCAUUAGGUGGUGAGGGAUGAUGAUGGAGGAACCAAGGAUAACUCCUGACCAGAAGCCUUUUUUACCCCCAUUUUGCAGAGUUCCACAAUCUCUGCCAGAAACUCUGGAACUUGAGUACUACCAGAAAGAAACAAAAUGUGGAUAGACCUUGACAAACUGGAGCAGGUUCUGAGGAUCUGACCAUGUUGGUGUGAGUCUGAAGAUGCCAUCACGGGGAGAAUAGGGGGAAAGGAUCACCAUGACUGAAGGAAGCAACAUGUACUUUGAGCAUAAGAAAAAAAAAACGAGAAAAGGCUGGAAUUUAAAAGGAGGAUGGAAUAAGAAUGGGUGAGCUUCCUAGGGGUUUACAUAAUUAAAUGUGUAAGAAGUGGCCCCAGAACACAAGUUACAGUUGCCCUGAAUAAGGACUUUGCCCUACUCAUUUUUGUCUCUCAAGCAAAUAACACUGUGUUUGAUAUAUAUGAGCUCCAAAUGUUUAUUGAAUAUAUGAGGGAGGAAUUAAAAUAAUAUCUAAAUUGGCCCAAGAACAGAUCUUCUGUUCUGAUUAUAGAAAAAUAAAAUAAAAUUCUGAAACCUUAUUUGAUUUUUG